rnacentral:rRNA from 1 species
GUAGUUAGCCGGGGCUUCCUCGUCAGGUACCGUCAUUAUCGUCCCUGACAACAAAAGUUUACAAUCCGAAGACCUUCUUCCUUCACGCGGCGUUGCUGGGUCAGGCUUGCGCCCAUUGCCCAAUAUUCCCCACUGCUGCCUCCCGUAGGAGUCUGGGCCGUGUCUCAGUCCCAGUGUGGCCGAUCACCCUCUCAGGUCGGCUACCCAUCGUCGCCUUGGUGGGCCGUUGCCCCGCCAACUAGCUAAUGGGACGCGAGGCCAUCCUAUACCAAAUUUCUUUGACCCCUGUACCAUGCGGUACCGUGGUCUUAUGAGGUAUUAGCAGCCGUUUCCAGCUGUUAUCCCUCUGUAUAGGGCAGGUUCCUCACGCGUUACUCACCCGUCCGCCGCUAAGCAACCAGAAAGCAAGCUCCCUGAUUGCUUCGCUCGACUUGCAUGUGUUAGGCACGCCGCCAGCGUUCGUCCUGAGCCAGAAUCAAACUCUGA